CAGCAUUUCGGCUCCAGAUUAAAUCCACUGAAGAGGUGAUGGGCCAGAGGACAGCCAGCCAGCCGAGAGGGCAGUCACCCCACACGCACGACAACCUGUGUAAGGAAGAUGCACUUGGUUUCUUGUGGGCUGAGGACAAGUCUGUAAAGACAAAGGUCACCCUGAAGAACAGAGUAGAAAUUACACCUACUGAUUCAAAGACUGCAUGCAUAUGGCCAUAAUGGAAAUCCAAUCCCCUAAGAUCUUCACAGCAUAAGAGUAAAUGAAGAACAUAUCAAAAUGGACUUCCUGCCCACCUUCAAGAUUCCCAGUCGAGACAUCUUCCAUUGAAGGAGAGAGAUCCGGAUAAUGAGGUCAAUUAAAUGCAAAAGUUAUCAUGAUCCACACUGACAGAGGCUAACUAGGUAAAUGUACAACAGCUCAAAAGAGAAAAAGAGAGAAUCUCAUGGAUGAUUGCCAAGCGGAUGGCCAGUGCCGAACGCAGAGGUCAGGGUUAAAAGGGAAAUUUUCCUUAGGUGAUUCUCCACCCCAACAUGAGAAGAGCUAUUAUGCUAAAGCAGCAGAGUACGUGGGGUAUAAAUAUGAAAUGGGUCAUGAAAAAAAAAUGAAACAGCAUGAGGAAACCCUAGUUAUGCCCACUCUAGAAGUAAAGUUGUAUUUUUAAAAAGCACACUUAUUAAUAUGAGUAUUAAUCAUCACUUAUAGAUAAUGCACUUGAAGAAAAAAAAGAAGGAAAAAAAUUUUACGGAGCCAAAUAUAUUGAGAUAAUCAGUAAGGAGUACAAAACGUUCAGAUAUUCUUCAAGCCUUUUAAGAGGGAAUAUAAGACAACACGUCAUACAGAAUUAUACAGCAGGGGCACCCGGGAGGCCCUGUGGCUCAGUCAGUUAACCACUGCCUUUGGCUCAGGUCAUGAUCCUGGGGUCCUGGGAUCCAGCCCCACAUCAGGCUCCCUGCUCAGCGGAGAGUCUGCUUCUCCCUCUCCCUCUUCCCCUUCCCCCCAGCUCAUGCUCUCUC